rnacentral:rRNA from 1 species
CAGCAGUGAGGAAUCUUGCGCAAUGGGGGAAACCCUGACGCAGCAACGCCGCGUGAGUGAUGAAGGCUUUCGGGUCGUAAAGCUCUGUCAAGUGGGAAGAACCCACGUGAUGAUAAUACCAUCACGUGUUGACGGUACCACUGAAGGAAGCACCGGCUAACUCCGUGCCAGCAGCCGCGGUAAUACGGGGGGUGCAAGCGUUACUCGGAAUUACUGGGCGUAAAGAGCGCGUAGGCGGUUUCCUAAGUCAGGUGUGAAAGCCCGGGGCUUAACCCCGGAAGUGCAUUUGAUACUGGGUGACUUGAGUAUGGGAGAGGGAAGUGGAAUUCCUGGUGUAGCGGUGAAAUGCGUAGAUAUCAGGAGGAACACCAGUGGCGAAGGCGGCUUCCUGGACCAAUACUGACGCUGAGGCGCGAAGGCGUGGGUAGCAAACAGGAUUAGA